rnacentral:lncRNA from 1 species
GCAAGGACAAGUCAGGGAGCUCAUACUGUGUGACUUUUAUUUGUCAAUAAAGAAUGAAAUAACUUUGUCAAAAUAAAGAAGGGACACCUGAAGCAGUCUCUUUUUCCGUGAGCAAAAACAUGAGGAAAAAUGGAAAUCAAGAUUACAAUGGAAAAGUGACAUAACAAACAGUGUAAAAUCUUUAAGACAGAGUGACUAUGCCACAAAGAAAAGCGAUCCAAUGAAUUUGCCCUGAGAUGUCACUGCUUUCCUCCAAGGCCGAUUUUCUCAUUUUACCGGUGCCCACGCAGCAUAAAGCCAGGAGGAUCCAGCCAGCCCAGGCAGUAGAACUCAAGAAUUUCAUGAGCAGAGAUGAGAAAGCAAAAUGUAUGUCUAGAGACCGGGAAAUACCGACUGGAAUACAGGGUUUGUGUUAGAAGUCAUGGGACACAAUGCUGGAAAGGUAAGUUGAGGCUAGAAUAUGGAGGAACUUUAAAUGCCAUAUGCAGGAAUUU